GUUUCUGAUACUACAAUACUUAGGCCAUCAUUUACACUCUUAAUUGACGACGAAUUUUUCUGUUAUUUCCGGAUCAUGACAAGAAGCACCCGGCAUGUGUGAUAGGUCUGCAGGGGAUGCUCAUCCCAACAUGGUACCUGAUCCCACCUCUGAUGCUUUGAAAGCCCCGGUAGGCUCUGCUUCUACGGUAGUAAACACCUCUGCUAAAAUAUGCGGCAAUAUAACUUAUAAUAUGGAACGUUGCUAUGGUAAUCAAGUCUGCUGUUACAAAGGAAGCUACGCAUACUGUUGCAAAGGGAUAACAUACGGUGAAAUGAUUGGAAUUGGAAUAGGAAGUUUGGCAGGACUCGUUUUAGUAAUUGGCCUCAUUAUCCUUUGUUGUAAGGUCAAAAACAAAAACAAAAUUUCGACAGAUGGCGUAGGAAUUGCCGACUCACACCACUAAGGCUCCACUGGAUCGUAUGGUGCUCACCCUGUCUAUGGUAAUGAAGGACAGUCGCUAGGUCCGGCUCGUCCAUUCACAGAACCCAACCAUCCUCCUAUAAUAUAUCCACCCACUCAGAGCACGGAAAAGGAUCCCAGGGAAGCGCCUCAGUCAAACCCUCACAGAAACUCACACAACUGACAAACUAACUAAUAAGAAAUGACUGAUCAAAGACAUAAACCUUUUUAACGGACACGGACCAACUGUUUCGACUAUUAAAAAACUUUAGACCUAAUCAAUAAACGUAACACAUUCAGGAGAAAUGUCCCAAAUGAAUCUCUGUUCCUCUUCUGUAAAACAAUCUAAUAUUAAAAGUUGAAUGAGUUUUAAAUAUGUAAGUGGAAAGUUGAAAUGGAUUUAAAA